rnacentral:rRNA from 1 species
GAUGAACGCUGGCGGCGUGCCUAAUACAUGCAAGUCGAGCGAACGGACGAGAAGCUUGCUUCUCUGAUGUUAGCGGCGGACGGGUGAGUAACACGUGGAUAACCUACCUAUAAGACUGGGAUAACUUCGGGAAACCGGAGCUAAUACCGGAUAAUAUUUUGAACCGCAUGGUUCAAAAGUGAAAGACGGUCUUGCUGUCACUUAUAGAUGGAUCCGCGCUGCAUUAGCUAGUUGGUAAGGUAACGGCUUACCAAGGCAACGAUGCAUAGCCGACCUGAGAGGGUGAUCGGCCACACUGGAACUGAGCCACGGUCCAGACUCCUACGGGAGGCAGCAGUAGGGAAUCUUCCGCAAUGGGCGAAAGCCUGACGGAGCAACGCCGCGUGAGUGAUGAAGGUCUUCGGAUCGUAAAACUCUGUUAUUGGGGAAGAACAUAUGUGUAAGUAGCUGUGCACAUCUUGACGGUACCUAAUCAGAAAGCCACGGCUAACUACGUG